rnacentral:rRNA from 1 species
CCUUAGCAAGCACCGGCUAACUCCGUGCCAGCAGCCGCGGUAAUACGGAGGGUGCAAACGUUGCUCGGAAUCAUUGGGCGUAAAGCGCACGUAGGCGGCGAAGCAAGUCGGGUGUGAAAGCCCUGGGCUCAACCCAGGAAGUGCAUUCGAAACUAUUUCGCUUGAAUCUCGGAGGGGGUCAGAGAAUUCCCGGUGUAGAGGUGAAAUUCGUAGAUAUCGGGAGGAAUACCAGUGGCGAAGGCGCUGACCUGGACGAAGAUUGACGCUGAGGUGCGAAAGCGCGGGGAGCAAACAGGAUUAGAUACCCUGGUAGUCCGCGCUGUAAACGAUGAGUGCUAGACGGUGGAGGUAUUGACCCCUUCGCUGCCGAAGCUAACGCGUUAAGCACUCCGCCUGGGGAGUACGGUCGCAAGACUAAAACUCAAAGGAAUUGACGGGGGGCC